CGGUGGAGCAUGUGGUUAAUUCGAAGCAACGCGAACGAACUUACCAGGUCUUGACAUCCGAUGCUAUUUCUAGAGAUAGAAAGUUACUUCGGUACAUCGGUGACAGGUGGUGCAUGGUUGUCGUCAGCUCGUGUCGUGAGAUGUUGGGUUAAGUCCCGCAACGAGCGCAACCCCUAUUGUUAGUUGCCAUCAUUCAGUUGGGCACUCUAGCGAGACUGCCGGUAAUAAACCGGAGGAAGGUGGGGAUGACGUCAAAUCAUCAUGCCCCUUAUGACCUGGGCUACACACGUGCUACAAUGGUUGGUACAACGAGUUGCGAGUCGGUGACGGCGAGCUAAUCUCUUAAAGCCAAUCUCAGUUCGGAUUGUAGGCUGCAACUCGCCUACAUGAAGUCGGAAUCGCUAGUAAUCGCGGAUCAGCACGCCGCGGUGAAUACGUUCCCGGGCCUU
rnacentral:rRNA from 1 species